GGCAUAGUAAUAGGUUACUAAUUACAGGUUCUGGGUAAAUAAAAGCUUUGUUACAAAAUAAAAUAGCUUGGUCUUAAUAUUACAUCUAUUUAAGGAAAGGAACAGAUUUUGCAUCCAGGUCCCCCCAGAGAAUCUUCCCCACAAUUCAAUCAUAGCUGAAAAGGAAACUAUCCUUGGAAUAAGUACUGUCCUGUCCUCUUUCUAAGGGAACUCCAAACAGGAAAUUGGUUUCACCUGUCAGGAACUUCUGGCACCUUGGUAGAUCUUUAUCACAUCACAGAAUUACAGAUUUUAGAACUGGAAGGAACCCUGAAGAUCAAUCACUCAGCUCCUCAAGGCUUCCUUCUUUCAAGAGGACAGGAUAGCCAUCACUGGAGGCGUGCGGGACCCCAGGACACAACUGAAAACGUGUCUUCGUGGUUUGAUGGUCCUGUGUUAGAAAAUCAGGGUGAUCUGACUACCUGGGUUUGGAGAUGGGCAUCUUGUUUUCUGGCAGAAUUGAGGAAAGCAAGGCUGCUUUGGGCUAUGUGUAAAAUUGUAAACUGGUUCUCAGAACAAACUCCAAGUCACACCUCUCUGCCGAGUGGUUAUAGAUCUUUGAACCAACACUGAUAUUCACUAUGGAGGCUGACAUUUAAAUUUUUCUUGGUGAAAUGAGUUGAGAGCAAUGAUGCUCAGACAGGAAAGUGACAUGUCCAGAGUCACAUGGGUGGCAUGCUGGAAGAGUAGGAUUGGAGGCCAUGCCUGUUUGUCUCAGAGUCCAGUGCUCACCCCAGCACACCCGCUGCCUUCCUCAGCAGAUUCAAAACCCUUAUGUUUAGGCUUCUCUGGUGACCACGUUAAACGUUUAAAUCCUCUGUGAACAUGUAUUAUAACCUAAACAACCAAAAGGAAGACAGAGAAGGAAGAGGAGAGAGAAGAAAGAAAGAGACCAGGCUGCCAUGCCUGCCAGCGUCGGACUGCACUCCUUCAUCCAGCCAGCAAAUCAACGCAAACCCAAGAUGAGGCAUGGGAAUCAGAAAACGGAGGGGUGGGAAGAGCCACAGGGCCGAGUAGAGAGCCCAAGAUGAGAGUUAGGGCAGGAAACCUCUCUAGUGGCUCCUUUACCGUGUCAUUCUUUAACUCAUGAAUCACUCUCCACACCCCACCGUGCACACCAGGACUAACCGCCUUACCACAUCUGGCCAGAUGCUGCAAACGCUGCCUCCAGAGGCUAUGACAGCUCGACACGAUCUUCUCCCCGUUGUAAUUUAGAUCUUCCUAUGCACCGUUUUUCAAGUGGUCAGUUCUCCACUGGAGGGAAAGACAAGCCUGGUACAAGACCAAGCCAGUGAUCAUUAGCCAGCUCUGUGCCUUGAGCAAUGCAUGUGUAGUUAUACUAAUCAGUUGAUUGAUGCAGGUUCGGUUGGGAAAUACUACAUUUUAAGGAAGUGCAACCUUUAACUUCUGAGUUGGAGCAGGCAGCAUGCCAAGGGAAGGAGGACUGGAUUAAACUAGAGAACAAUUCUUUGAGCCAUGGACAUUGAGCUGGGCACAAACCAAGCCAGGUCCCGGGAUUCUCGGAGGAUCCAGGAAGAAGUGGGCAGGCAGGUAAGGGUCGGGCACCACAGCAAAUACCAGCUAGGUGAUCUUGCCCCCUCCUGUGUGCCAAGUCCAGGUUCGGGCAUGUCAGUUACCUCUACUGAACUUUUUUGCACACUGCUGCUGUUCAUAUUUAAUCAAAAUUUAUAACUCAUGGCUCAGAAGCCUGGAAUAUUGAUGUCUUUAGUCUUAAAAGACUCAAUUAGCCCAUGUGCAGAGUUGGCCUCUCUCUCUUCCUCAGCAGGGUUGAAAAACUCGUUUCUUUUUUUUUAAUGUAAAUAUAAAAUCCAUCACCCACAUUCCAGAAUUAACCUGACAAGAUUAGGUAGGAUCAUAAAAUCAUAAAAUUGUUGGGUUUAGAAGGUCUCUAGAGAUCACACCGUAUCUGAAUCUCCAACAUAACAUCCCUAACAAAGUGUCCAUCAUACUCCUUCUUAGAUAUCUCCAGGCUGGGAACUUUCCAUCUCCCAAGGUGGCCCAUUCCAUGGUUGGUCAGAUUUAGAAGUUGGGUGUUUUAAACUUAUUUAUUGGCUCAAUUAUAAGGAGGAAUUUAUCACAGCAAGAGAGCACUCACCAAAGACAUUUGGGGCUGCGUGUAGGUUGGUGACAUCAAUGGAUGCAAACAGGAUCCAUGACCACAGACUAUACCCCAAAUACCAACUCAUAUAAGUCCUUGGUCAGCAGAGUGAACAGAAAAAUAUUGGAUGCUGCACACAGUGCCAGGACUAGGGAUAUAUUUACAAAUGAUAGUCUUAGGUGUUUAUGAUAAAGUUUGUAUGAAAAUCCUUCAUUGGUCACAGAAAAAGGAACUUGAACUGAUCUCCUUUGACUUUCACUUUUAAGAGAACAUAUGAAAUUCAGGUCAGUAUCAUAGUUUUUCAGACACCAGAUAGACAUUUAAUCUUUCCCACCAGCUUAGUAAUUUCUAUAGGUUUUCUUCCUCUAGAACCGAUACCUAGGUCAGAAAAUCAUAGACUUGGGCGCCUAGUACAGUUUUAGGACUAGAAGUUUGCCGGAAGAAAUCUCAUCUGAUUUCUUCAUCUUAAAACCAGGAAACUAAGGCCCAAAGAGAGGAAGCAACUGACCCAAGGUCACAGAGCCCUUUUGGGAUGGAGUCAAGACUAAAUCACUGGUCUCCCUACUCCUAGUAGAGUGCUCUGCUCUUCAUUAUCAAUGGUGAUAUGCUGAGUAUGUACAAAGAGUGAUGAUCUCUCUAGUGUGCUUUAGGACAGGUGCUACAGAAAGUUUUAUGGAAUAGAGGAAAGAGAGCGUGCCUCUCCCGUCUCCCCAUGUGGCAACCUUAUGGAGGAAGGAUUGCUAAAAUGCCUUUUAAGAUGUCAAUACACAAGAACAACAACAAAAAUACACUGUGAACACUGUCUAAUUGUAUCUGCAUGCAAAUAUAUCCAAAUGGUCCUCAUCAUAAGACCUGCUAGUUAUUGUGCAUCUACUAUGUUCCAAGCACUUUACAUAACUUAUUAGUUCUAAUCCUCCCAAAGACUCUGUGAGGUUAAUGUUAUUGUUUUUCAUAUGAAUAAACUGAGGCUCAGAUGACACAUGGCCAGUGUGGCAGAGUCAAGAUUUGGGGCCAAGUCUUCCUGGCUCCAAAGCCUGUGUUGUUUUCGCCAUAGCCACCACCUUCUCUAGACUAUCUCAAACCCACUCCUGUGUCCCACCCACCAACAAGCCCCAAAUAUUUUCUAUGGCUGGUCCUGGUGUGGAAUCAAGUUGAGAUUUUUUUUUUUUUCAUUCUUUGAUGAUCCAACUUAGUUAUCUCCUCAGGCAGUUUGGGAAGUAUCUCCCCUUUCACUGGUGUGUUCUUUUAUUUAAGGCAUCUUAUAGAAAACAGGACAAAGUAAGACCCUAGCAUCUGGUGAAUUAUUCUAUGCUCCUCUUAAAGUCUUGGGUUAAAGUCCACAAACAUGGAACAUCACAGUCCUCUUGGAGUUCUGCUGCAGAGGGCAACCGUAUGGCAGUUUAAAGAAGCCAGCCCCGGGCCAACAAGAGUACUGUCUUCUUAGGAAUGAAGUAGUUAUAAGGUGCAAGAUGUAUGAUUUAUACUCCUAUUUCAUACCCAUGUGAAAUGUAUUAGCUUUUUGGUCUUCACAACAACUCAGUGAAACAGGAGUUGUGAUUAUCUACUUUCCUAAAUGCCCUAAUUUGCAGAGCUGCUACAUGAGGGAGUCUUUGUUCAGAGUGAGGCAGUGACUGCAAGAGCCUGGGAUCUCCCACCACAGUGCUGCCAUGCCUCCAGCCCUGGCCAGUGACUGGGUCCUCCACUCCUUAGCCACCAGCCCAAGCAGCAAGGGUGAAGUUGACUGUGGAUCCAUCUGAUAAAGUUACAGCAGCAUCUUGGAUUCACAACAACCCCGCCAGCUCCUCACUGAACAACACGUCGUCUGGCAACAGGAGGUGCUUGAUUACAUUUGGCUGGAGCGCCGGCCUCAACUCCAGUUGUCCCUGAAUUGGAAUUGAUGGGCCUCACGCGCUGCAGCCAACAGUUUGCCUUCACCCACUCCCCUCUCUCAAAUGAACCUUCUUCUGGGACAACAAGAAACCUACGUGCCAUCCUGGGUGAGAGACGAACGGGAGCUGAGUCCCAGCAUCGAAUCCCUGGAGAGACAGGGAAGAGCAGACUCGGAGGGGUUCCCGACAGCAAGCCAUGCUUCAAGCAUUUCUGGAGAGACCCCCUGGACCACAGAACGCAAAUGCUCUCUCUGGAGGACUGGAGCCUCUGUGUUCCUUUCAGCUCAUGGGCAUCGAUUCUCCUUGUGUGCAGGGUAGGGCAUCAAGCGACCAUUCCCUUUAGGCAAGCCUCCGUGACCUCCCGCCCCCUGUUCUGACUUAUCUGCUCAGUGAGUCACUUGCACAGGCAGAAUAAAUGCCCCCAAAGAUGUCCACGUCCUAAUCCCCAGAACCCGUGAAUAUGUUAUAUUAAAUGGCGAGGGCUAAUUAAGGUUGCGGAUGGAAUUAACCUUGCUCAUCAGCCUACCUUAAAAAAUAGGGAUAUUAUCCAGGACGAAUCAUGGGACCACAAUGGAUUCACAAAGGUCCUUAAAUAAGGAAGAGGGAGGCAGAAGAGUCAGAAACAGACUGGGGGCAUCGUGGAAAAGACUUGACCUGCUGUGGUUGCCUUUGAAGAUGUAGGAAGGGGCCACAGACCAAGGAAUGUGGGCAGUCUCUACAAUCUGAAAAAGACAAGAAAAUAGAUUGUCCCCUAGAGUUUCCUUGAUUUUAACCCAGUGAGGCCUAUUCAGACUUCUGACUUCCAGAUCUGUAAUAUUUGUGCUGUUACAGCAGCCAUAGGAAACCAGGACUGUCACCAUGGACUCCCCAUGUACCCAGCCUGGUACCAGUGCUGAGGAAACAUUCCCCAAGCAUGUGAUUUCUACCUUGUAUUAGUCAUCAGGAUCUAACCAGGGAAACUGAGACCGCUCUAAGUGUCUAAACACAGGAAAUCAAAUGCAGAUCAUUGGCUAUAUAGACGAUAGAAGAAGUUCAAAAGCCAGUCCAGCCAUUAACCAUAACAGUGGUUGCUACUAGUAUGCUACUAGGCUGAGCUAGAGGGACAAAGAGAGGAGAUCAUAUACUGGAGUCCAGAGGCCAGGAUCACCUGGAAGAAGCUGGACCAUGAUGGGCCUGUCUAGCAGGAGCUGGAGCUAUGGAGGGAACAGAGCCCUGCUGUAGAAGCUGCCUGAGACAGAAAGGGAAAGAGAUAUACACCCUGGUUUCUCCCUUUCUCCUACCCUCCGAUCUCCCACCAACACCUCCCAUUGGCUGUUACUAGCUGGAAGGCAGCUGAGGUGGGAGUCUGGGGUACACAGGAGGAAGCCCUCCUGCAGGACAGAGCAGAGCUGGGAAACAGCAGUGAACGGAUUAAUGGAUUUGUAGAUGAAUAGACCCCAGACUGGUACAUACCUCCUUUCUGCUUUGAUCACCAUGAAUCUUGAAACAUAAUUUAUUGUUUAAAAUCCAAAUUCUUGACCAUGACUUCUAAGACCUGACAUAACCUAGACUUCCUCUAAUUUCUCUGCCCUCAUCCUAUAAAGUUCUCCCCUCAUUCACAGCACCCCAACCCAGCUGGCCGUUGUUCUGUCCUCAGUAUGCCAGGCAAGUCCCAUCUUGGGACCUUGCACUUGUUUGUUGUAGCCUCUGCUGGACUUUCCUCCUCUUGUCUCUCCCCUACUGAUCACUUUUUAUCAUUUGAGUUUCAGCUUAUGUAACACCCUCCCCCAUCUAGAAUAGGUCCCCUCACCAAAAGUCACCAUCGUAUUCCCCUAUUUUUUUUUUUCUUCAGAGCAGCUAUUAUUAUCUGAAAUUAUCUUGGUUAUAUGUGCAUCUAUUUAUCAUAACCUUCCCCAAGCUGUAGGCUCCUUGAGGGUAGGGAUCUGUCUUGCUGCUUGCUAUGUCCUUGUAUCAGCACUGUCUAGAUGUUCACCAAAAUCUAGCCUUUCUUCUUGGAAACAGAGUAAGGCUCAUGUCCUAUUCCUUUGUGGUUAGGUGUGAUGGAGUCCUAGCUAAUGGAACAGGAGUGGAAACAUUCAGUGCUGCUUCCCAGGCUUGGCCCAUGUAAACCUCUCAUGCACACCCCUGCAUGUUUUCCCCUUUCUGCCAGAUGUUGACAUCCUACGGGAUGGUGGAGGCACAAGAUGAAAGGGACCUGGGCCGUUGAAUGACUAAGUGAAGAAGGGUUGCCCCAGCAACCUGCAUACCCAUCCAGGACUAUUAUGUGAACAAGAAACAAAUGUGUUUUGUAUUGAGUCAUUACAUUAGCCUGUCCUAACCAAACAAUUCCCACUGCCAAGAAUUCCCAAAGCCUUGUCCAUAAUUGGCUCUCAGUAGCUAUUAAAUGAUUGACUGUUAAACACUCAGUAGUUACAUGUUCAGGGAAGGAAUGUCUUUUCCUUACCCUCAUGCCUUACCUGCCAAACUCCCUGUAUAUUCACCUCUGGACUCUCGAUGGCUUUCAUGGAGCCUCAGCCUUUGUAGGUGUUUGAUAGUCGUGUGUUGUGUUGAGUUUCUAGGCAGCAUGAGGGAGACAGUGACCAGGCAUGGUCUGCAAGUGUGAGUUUAAGCAGGUAUUCUGCAUUGCUAUAACUACCAAUGUUUGUGAGGUUCUUUAGAGUUAACAAAGGUUCACUCACUUGAUCCUUAUAACAACUCUGAAAGGAAGGGGCUAUAAUGACCCGCAUUUUACAGUUGAUGAGUCUGAGCUCAGAGGUUAAUUAUCUCGUUCAAGAUCUUACUUUUUCAAGGGAUAAAGCUGGUGUUAAUUCAUUGUUCAAAAUCAUUUAUGGAGUAUGUACAAUGUGCUAGCCCCUGUCUAAAGCUUCUGUACCUAGUAGGGGUCUCAGGAAACAUGGAAACCCAAAGUUCUGAAGUAACCUCCCAGAAAAUAAGAGGGAGGCCCCAGUUCAAGCCUGGGACUGAGAGCUUUGCCUGUGUCUUGCAGCUUAUGUUGUCAGCUAUGAUGCUGCCACGGCUGUGUGCCUUGGGACAAGCUUCUGGGUGGUCUCCCACACCUGCCUGGAUACAGCAACAUGGCUGGGACCCCUCAGCAACUCUCCCACUUGCCCAGGCUAAUGGCCCUGGCAUUCUAAGUCUGCCCUUUUCCAUACAUUCUUUCCUCCUUCCAUGGCAAGAUUGCAGCAGACGAUUUAGAAUGGGUUCCAGGCCAUUUAGCUCAGUCAGAGAUCUGGGUGAAAGUUUCCUCCCACCCAUCCCAGGCCUCAGAUAACCCAUCAGAGGAUGACAUCCCGCACAAAGGAGGGGGAAGAAACACUGUGGAGACUUUCAGGCAUGGGAUUGGAGCAAAAGUUUCGGCAGCUACUGCAUUUCUCCACCUUCUUCUGGCUGUACGAAGUGUGUCAGUAGUGGGUCAGUUGGAAAGCUUAGGACAGAAAGCCCAAGAGGAUGUAACUUGUCUAAACGGAGAUGACCGAGGUCCCUGGAGGGUCACCCGCAGGUUGGAUUAUUUGCCGACGCCGAGAGGAAAGUGCUGGCAUCUGAGGGGCCUGUGGAAGAGGAAGAGGAAAGUUAGAUGGCCCGUCUCUGCCAGAGCUCAGCCUUUCCCAGCCGGACGACACUCCUCUCGUACUUGGGUGCUUUUCUCUGUAAAUAAAUCCUGGCUGCUCUUACAGUGCAGGACGUCCCACAUACCGUACCUCUGAGGUGGGGUGAAAUACAAAUAUGCCUUUUCAUAAUAGCUUUACACCUGGAGCAGCAGAGGACUGGUUUAUUGCCUUGGUAAACAGAAGUUUGAAUUCAAGCAAAGUACAAACUUUGCCGAAGGCACUUCUGACAGUGCACCUUGUGUUUGCGAAGUCAACUCGCUAUAUAUGCACGAUGUGAAGCAAUGGAAGGCUGGCCUUUCUCUCUCAUCUGAUUUCCAAGGUUUAAAAGUUCAGCACCUUGAGGAAUGCCUUUGGCUUAGUUAUUGCAAGAUUUUAAGAAAUUAUCGAAACAUAAAUACUCAUUGCAAGGAAACAGAUAUGAGUUGCAAAUGGAUUAAACAUAAUCCUUGUGCAAGCCCUUGAGAGAAAAUAGAUAGGGAUCUCAGGGCUGUGAGACAAAUCUUGGUCAAGGAUGCUUGCUUUGGGGACUCUGCUCUAAAAACCCGGAGCACGGGCUCUAGGUGCACAGGCUUCAGCAGUUGUGGCACGUGGGCUCAGUAGUUGUGGCGCACAGGCUUAGUUGCUCCACGGCAUGUGGGAUCUUCCCAGACCAGCACUCGAACCUGUGUCCCCUGCAUUGGCAGGCGGAUUCUUAACCACUGUGCCACCAGAGAAGUCCCCAUCACUGCUUUUCAAUACAGGUCCACAGAUUGAGUCCAUGGAAAGAUGUUUACCCUGAGAAAGAAGAGAGAUGAGAACCCUGGAAUACUUCCACAACAGUGAUUGGAAAUCUUCUUCAAGACAAGGCAACCAGGGACCAGAAAAGCUAAGUGAUUUACCCAGGCUUUCACAACUAGGAAGGGGAAGACCCAGGAUUCAAAACCAGGCAGCCUGGUCCAGAGCCAGCACUCUGACCCUCUCUGUGCGAGCUCUUCAAGGAACAAGUCUCAUUCGUUACCCAACUCUGGCACUAGAAUGAAAGAAUGAUCCAUCUACUUCAUCUGAAGAUAAAAUGACUUUUCUACAAAGUUGAUGGAACAUGGAUGACAAUGGAAGCUUUGGAGCCUAGAGUCCUACUGUACCUUGAAUGCUAUCCCUUCCGGACUGGAAGGCAAGAUUAUAAACAGUCCAUAGUCAAGGUCUUGUUAGUAGACAAGAGAACUGCUUACACACGAAGUGUGCAUCACCUGAAGGCCAUCAGCAUGCUUUCUGGGAGCAGCAAACCGACAAUGCAGCACACCUCCAGAUGAGCCUGUUUUUCUCCCCAGCCCAGGCCGACACCCCACCCUGGGUGGAGCCCUCUCUACGCUGUGAGUCUCCCAGACUGGAGGGCUGAGCCCAGCUGGAGGGCAGAAUUACCACCCAGGUGCUAGGUAUACAAUUCCUGUUUAAUACUUCACUUCUUCUAUGUAACCUCAAAACUUCUUUUUGUAUGUAGUAAACAUGGACUAGGACUCACAUUUAGUUUUUAAUGUGAUUGCCAGUUUCUAGAUAUCAAAUUUGAAUGAAGACUCAAGUUUGGACUUCACAUCAGUGUAUCUUGGGCCAUAGAGUCUGUUGUUCAAUAUGAAAUUGGGUGUUCCCUAUUCACCUAUCCAGGAGAGACAUGGGGAAAUUAAUGGCCUCUAUCUUACGUGCAACACACCAAAAGUUUUUUUUAAAAAAAGAAGAGAGAAAUGGGAAAAAAAUUAAAAUGUGUAGGAAAAAUGGUAAGAAACAAAAAUCAGUUGCUACAUCAGUGAGGUACAAUGCCUGUACUGCUCUUCUAGGACACAGAAGGGAGGCAGCUAAAGGUCUAGAAGCUUCAUGCAACUUGAAGUGUUCCACUAUUCACAUAAGAGGAGAAAACUCUCGUGAUAUUUAGUAUGCCAUUAAUGGCCAGUGUCGACAUUAUGUACAUGUUCUAUAUCAACCAACCAGAAGGGCUUGUAGUAUUCAAAUUCAGGGCUUUUAUUCAGGGUAAGACUUGAAGAGGACCUAGUCCAACCUUUCAUUCACAGAUGAGGAAACUGAAGCUCUGAGAAGGUAGAUCCUCUGAUUCUAGACUGAUACUAGCCAACCCCGGGAAGAGGCCGAGAGCAAAGGUGUCCCAGCCUGGAAGCAGGGAAGUCAGCUGACACCCAGGGCUCUGGCUCCAGCAUGGCAGCCAGCCUCCUCGCAGGGCUCCACUUGCUACCUGGAGCCCCACAGCAACCCCAUGCCUCCCCUGCAGGAUGCUAAAGCAAGGGACUCAGAGUGGGUUGUCCUGAGGCCCUGCUGGCAGUAAAAUCCUGUUGCCCAGCCUGCGUGGAGCAUGUUAAAACCUUCCUGGGACUUUAGCCCAAACUUAUAAACUCUUUUCAUUCCUCCCACACCUUCUGAGAGCUAGCUUUCCAAAACAGUCCCUGCCACACCCCCAAAGCCCCAGACAGGAGCCUCUCAAGAGCUCUUUCUUCACUUCAAAUCCAAAGGAGAAAAGGGACCCAGAGGUUGGGGACAGCACCACUAAGGAGAUUAACUUCCCUUACAAAUCUUCCCAUCCAGGAACAUUUCCCCUGGAAUGAAAGAGCACAAAUGCAGAGAGCCUUUAGAGACAUUCCAGUUCAAGUCACUCAUUUGUUGGAUGAAACUGGGACCCAGAGAAGGGGCAUGCUUUGCCUAAGGGCUCUCAAGGAGUCAGGUGAGCUAGGGCUGCAGGAGGGUCUCUGGUCUCUGGGCACCACUCCUGCCAGGUGCAUCCAAUCGAGUGUGUGUGUGUGUGUGUGUGUGUGUGUGUGUGUGUGUGUGCACGCAGGCCUGUGUGAGUAUGCAUUUGGUGCCAGGAACCCGGGUUGCACUGAGAAGUUUUCUUGUACAUCGUGGACGGGUGGAGGAGAGAAGGGGUUUGCUUGCAGGUAGCGUAAAAACGACUUGCAUGGGGCAGAUGACAUUUUUAUCUUCAACUGAACCAGAAAUGAAGAGUCCAACUCACAAUUUUACCUGCUACUAUUUUGAACAAUCAUUAACUGGAAAGUAAUAUAUGUUUAUAAUAGAAAAUUUGGAAGUUAGAAGAAAUGUGAAAGAAAUAAAACUACCCAUAAUUCCACCAUCUAGAAACCACCUUUGUCAAUGUUUUGGUUUACAUUCGUCAGUCUUUGUUAAAAAGUGCGAUUAACUGGCAUGUUCUGUUUGGUAACCUAAUAUUUGCAUGUUCUAGUGAAACUUUGUUUUCAUAAUGCUAAAUACUCCUCCAUGGGAUAUUUUCAGUGGCUGCCUAGUUAUUCAUGCUGUUGGUUUAUCCAUUCAACCCAUUUCUUUCUGAUGGACACUUUGGUAACUCCUUUUUUCUCUCAUCAAAAAUAAUAGUGAGAUAAAUGUCUCUGGAUCUCUGGUUAUUCUUGGAUGAGAUUCUUAAGAUAGAAUUAGUGUAACGAAGAGAAUGACACUUCAAAAUUUUGACAUAUUAUGUUUCCAAGUCAUGCUUCAGAAAACUUG